GCAAUCUCUUCUGUCCAAUCAUUGGUUGUGGUGCACAGAUGAAAAAUCUGGAUGACUUUGAAGACCACUAUGUUACACGACAUACUGCAUCUUGUUCUGUAUGCUCUCGAGUUUACCCAACAUCACGCCUGCUCAGCAUACAUGUGUCAGAGGCUCAUGAUUCCUUUUUUCAGGCAAAAGCUGCUCGAGGCUUUCCCAUGUAUGAGUGCCUUGUGGAAGGCUGUGAUAUCAAGUUGAAAAGCUACAAAAGCAGGCAGCAACAUCUUGUUGACAAGCAUAAAUUUCCAGCAUCUUAUGAGUUCUUCAGAAAAGCUCGUCCAUCAAAAAAACAGAGGCUGAAGCCGCAUCAUAAACAAGCAUCUAAUAAGACUCAGGAGAAGUCAAGUGCAAUGCAAGUUGAGGAAGAAACAAUAGACAAUCUCGUUUCAGCGGUAUCGAAAUU
rnacentral:misc_RNA from 1 species